rnacentral:rRNA from 1 species
UACGUAGGGUGCAAGCGUUGUCCGGAAUUAUUGGGCGUAAAGAGCUCGUAGGCGGUUUGUCGCGUCGGCUGUGAAAACCUGGGGCUCAACCCCGGGCCUGCAGCCGAUACGGGCAAACUAGAAUUCGGUAGGGGAGUCCGGAAUUCCUGGUGUAGCGGUGAAAUGCGCAGAUAUCAGGAGGAACACCGGUGGCGAAGGCGGGACUCUGGGCCGAUAUUAACGCUGAGGAGCGAAAGCGUGGGGAGCAAACAGG